UCCUGACCUGACCCAUGCAACACAGCACUCUGCAGAUGCCUCUUGUUCCUGGUCAUCCGGGAGUCUCCUCACUAACCAUUUCCAGCUGUUAGCACCUAUAUGGGCCACUGUUUGGAAAAAUGCGGAGACCAUUUGGACCCAAAUGUCUUACUUAAUGUUUCAUUGAUGCAUACUUCAUAUACCACAAGCACAUUCUUCAGUGCUAAACAAUGAGGUAGCUUCUCAUGUUGUGUGAUAUUUAACAAAUUUAGCACAUUGAAAAGGCUCUCUGGGGUAAAAUAAGAUGUUUGUAAGUUGACAUUUUGUAUAUUUUCCUAAGCGCUACCUGGGAGGCUGAGGCAGGAGAAUCACUUGAAUCCAGGAGGCGGAGUUUGCAGUGAGCUGAGAUCGCACCACUGCACUCCAGCCUGGGCAACAUGAAAGAAACUCCAUCAAAAAAAGAAAAGAAACCCAGAAAGAAAGAAAAAGAAAGAUUUAUCUCUGUUUCUAGACAGACAAAUAUUGUAGUGAAAAAAUUCAAAAAGAAUGAUUGCCCACAAUUAGCAUGUCUUUAUUGCCCAGUUUAAUGAACUGCAUUUCUCUUUUCCACUUCACAGUUGUUCUUCUCAAUUAAGUUCUCCUGUAAUUCCCCAAAUCAUAUUUUGUUCCUGAUGUUGAUUUUGUUCAAUUUAAUGUUGCCUCCUCUGAACUUAUAUGCAAAUUAUAUCCAGAUAUUAUUGUGUCAUUUUAAUGGACCAAACUGUCUUUAUUUUUUUUAAUAAUUUUAGGGUAAAAGCUGAAAUAUCAAAUCUGUAUGUUACAAUGCUUUUAGUGCAUACUCAAGAACAGCUUUUGCAAUUGCUGAAAAUAACAUUAUAAAUAUUAAUUUGUAUUACCAACGUUCUUAAUAUCUAUGUACAUUUACUUUUAAGUUUAAUAAAUGUUCUUGACUUUAAGAUCAUUCACGAUUUUCCACUUGAUAGGACAUGUUUUGAAUUUAUACCAUGGGGAGUGGUGGUUUGAGGGUAGAAAUGAUUAUUGAGAAAAAGUGGAGGAAAAACACAUCUUUAUUUAGCAAUUUGAAAAAAAAACACUGGAUUGUUCACAUGUCAGCUCCUGUUUCCUACAGAAUUCUACUAGUCACCAUUUACACAC
rnacentral:lncRNA from 10 species